UACGGAGAGUGCAAACGUUGUUCGGAAUUACUGGGCGUAAAGGGCGCGUAGGCGGCCUUCUAAGUCAGACGUGAAAUCCCCGGGCUCAACCCGGGAACUGCGUCUGAGACUGGAAGGCUCGAAUCCGGGAGAGGGAUGUGGAAUUCCAGGUGUAGCGGUGAAAUGCGUAGAUAUCUGGAGGAACACCGGUGGCGAAGGCGGCAUCCUGGACCGGUAUUGACGCUGAGGCGCGAAAGCGUGGGGAGCGAACGGG
rnacentral:rRNA from 1 species